rnacentral:tRNA from 1 species
UGGCACAGUUGGUAGAGCAUGGUGUUUGCAACGCCAGGGUUGUGGGUUCCAUUCCCAC